ACGAACGCUGGCGGCGUGCUUAACACAUGCAAGUCGAACGGAAAGGCCCUGCUUUUGUGGGGUGCUCGAGUGGCGAACGGGUGAGUAACACGUGAGUAACCUGCCCUUGACUUUGGGAUAACUUCAGGAAACUGGGGCUAAUACCGGAUAGGAGCUCCUGCUGCAUGGUGGGGGUUGGAAAGUUUCGGCGGUUGGGGAUGGACUCGCGGCUUAUCAGCUUGUUGGUGGGGUAGUGGCUUACCAAGGCUUUGACGGGUAGCCGGCCUGAGAGGGUGACCGGCCACAUUGGGACUGAGAUACGGCCCAGACUCCUACGGGAGGCAGCAGUGGUGAAUAUUGCACAAUGGGCGGAAGCCUGAUGCAGCAACGCCGCGUGCGGGAUGACGGCCUUCGGGUUGUAAACCGCUUUCGCCUGUGACGAAGCGUGAGUGACGGUAAUGGGUAAAGAGGCACCGGCUAACUACGUG
rnacentral:rRNA from 1 species